CCUGCCCCUCCCCUGCUCGUGCUGUCUCUCUCUGUCUCUGUCUCUCAAAAAUAAACUUAAAAAAAUUUUUUAAAGAUAAAAUUAAAAUGCCUCAGUGACAGAAGCACCAUCAACAGCAGAAGCAAAUAUUUACUGAAUUUGAUCCAAGCGCCCAAACUGAGGAAAUGUGAACACUGGGAAAGAAGGUUCUAGUUCAAACUUCCUAGACUUUUUUUUUUUUUUUUUUUAAGAAAACAGACAUCUCCAAAGAGACUUUUAUGUUCUAAGGGACAAACAAAAUCGUAGUAAAUUAAAUGUGUACGGUUUUUUCAGCUAGCACAUUAACUAUAUAGUUAAUGUGAUGUCUCCAAGCAAGGUGGUUGGCUCUCUUUACAUGCUAGAAUAAUCAAUGAUUUAUGUACCUGACCAUCUUUUCAUAAUCCUUUACACAAGCAUGUGUAUUUAUGACUGUUUUAGAAAACUUUGAGGAUAAUUUUACUAUUGAAAGGGAUUAUAAAUUUUUUGCCAUUGUGACUGUGCUUGUUUAAGCAUAUCUAAAAUUCUUCUGAAGUCAAAUACUUUUGCAGCUAGAACAGUGAGGCAUUGUGGCAAAAUAGGCUGGGGGGCUUGCCAGGUUACAUUUGCUAAAAAUGGGACAUGUGUUUAUUUGGUCCCUCAAGGUUGGAACUCAGAAAUCACCUUAUCCAGUGAUUGUCAACAGGGGCACUGAUGCCAUAUUGAGUGUGAUCAUUUUCCAUUGUUUAGGACUAUCUUGAGCAUUGUCAGGGGAGUCAGUACUCCUGGCCCACCUGCACCAAAUGCCACUUGAAUCAUCUAGAAAUUUGGACAACAAACGCCCACAAUGGGGUGUGCCAUGGGGGACUGCCCUUGGGUGAGAAACACUGAUCAAUCCAAUGACCCAUGAAUGGGCUGCACAGGUCCCCUUCCACCAUCCUCUAAAGAUAACAGGUCAGCCCGGCUCUUCUGCCAUGCACCCACACCUCCAGUGAUGAAGAAAUCACCACCUCCUAAAGCCACAUUUGAACUCUACUCAUUAUUAAAAUGUUAUUUUUUAUGACAUAACUCCCCCCCCCCCUCAUUUCCAUCAUUAGCCUUUGGUCUGUAACACAGACCUCUUUGUUUCUCAUCCUCUUCCACAUGAAUGCCCUUCAGUCUUUGAGAGUAGCCAUUGUGUUCCUCCUGUCCCAUGACAACCUCCCACCCCUCCUGGAAACUUGCUGUGUCAUUGUACAUGGUUUUGCACUUCAUGGCAAAGCACUUUUUGUAUUACCUCAUUUAAUUUUCACACCAUGAUGUAGGGGUGAUCAUUUCCUCUUCAAAGGGAAUGAAAUGGAGUUUCAGACCCAAUGACUGACCCAAGGCUGCACUGUUGGUCAUUGGUCAAGCAGGAACAUGAAUCUAGUUCUUAUGCAAAUUCAGUACCUGUCACACUUCUCCCAGUGUUCACUAAAUUUUGUCCAGUCUCUCCCUUUCCAAUGCCUUCUUUAUUUCCAUCUCCACCUCUGCUUGUCUCCCAUCAUAGAAGGCAUGAUGGCCCCAAUUUUUUACCCUUUUUGUAUUUGCAUCCUUUACCAUAUUGCUUUGCAUUUCUUCCUAGCAACAGGUGGAAUAUAUUUCUCAGCUCUUGAUUUUGGGUUCAAUAGAAUGAAGUGAAAAUGUCAUUAUACCAGUUCUGAAUUUAGGCCUCAAGAAGCCUUGUAUGUUCCCACUUGUUCUUUUGCAUUUCUGCCUUCAUUAGACACAAGGAGCAGAGCCGCCUCAGCUGUCCUAUGUAGAUUAGCUGACCCCCCAGCCAACCCAGAGGCUUGCAAGAAAAAAACAAUUGGUUUUAUUUAACCUAUUGAGUUUGGAAUUAUUUGUUAUGCAGCCGUUGCUAACUGAUACAUUUCUUCAACCUUCAGAAAACAAAGACUUCCCUUUACCCACUGUUUUUCUUUCCCUCAUUACUUGAAAGCCUGUACUAGCUUUCUUAACAUCUUCAUCUUUUGUUUCACAAACCACUGCUACCUUCUGCUCCACUCUCCCUGUGAGAAGGGGCCCCCAACUUCUAAUGGCCAAACACUACGUGGUCCUGACAGCCUUUAGCGCCUUGAAUCAUCCUGCCCUUCUGUAACUGCUUCUUUGGUUUUCAUGACACUUCCUGUGUUUCUCAUCUCUCUUUUCUCCUGUCAGGAGUCUCCUCUCUGCCCUUGUUGCUUCUUGCUUUCCUUCUCUCUCCCCAGGGACCCUAGCCUCUCUCAUGACUUCAAGGACCACAAAAGUAUCGACAGCUGUUUGUAACCCCAUGUCUCUUCAACAUUCCAGCCGUGUGUGCAUGUCUGUUUCACAGCUCCUGCAGGGGGUACUGAUGGCUUCACACAGGAAAUGAUUGCAGGUGGAGUGGAGGAGGAGUGGCAUAGGAAGAGAUCGAUCAGUGGUCAGGACUCCAGACCAGAAGGUACUGCAAGAAUCCAGGCAAGAGGUGAUGUGGCCAGGCUCAGAUGUCAGAGUCACCAGAAACCCUUGAUUGAGCACCUGUGCUUCCUCCUGCAAAGCUGCAGUUUUGUUUUUGGACUCAGGUACAGGACUUCACAUUUAUCCUUCUUAAAUCUAUUCAUGGUUAGCUUUGGCCCAGUACUGCAACCUGUCACACUCCUUGUUAAUUCUAUUAUACCCACUUAAUUAGGCAUCCCUCCUGGACCGAUGUCAAUCAGUCAUUUGGUCAAUGUGUUACUUGUAUCCUACUCAAGGCACAGAUAACACUGAAAAGAAAGGUUCUGGCAGGAAGAAUACAGCAAUACCUGUUAUUUGUUUUAGUUACCAAAUGGCUGCAUGACCCAGAAAUUGACGCAGGUGUGGCUGGUCUUGUGUAAUUUCCAGACUGCACUGUGGCUCCAAGCAGCUUUGUAUCACACAGACCAGUUGGCUGGUGACCGAGGCUCUGAGAGGCUCACCUGCUCCUCCCUCUCCCUGGCAGAUAUGCCCCCCCAGAGCCGCCAAGGAAGAGAACCCAGAGAGGCCGGCGAUUGAGAAAGCUUGCACCAGGGCUGUGUGCACUCGGCCUUUUCUCCAGGGGUAAUCCUAACAUUUGGGCAGAUGCCUGGCUUUAGCCAAGAGCCUCGUCCAAGAACAUCAUGAUCUCAAUCCUUGCUGGCUCACUCUGCCUUUGGCCCCCCAGGAGCCUCCCAGGCGGCAGCAGGGAAGGGCACAGAGUAUUUCCUGACACCCUGGGCCUCUCCUGGUUCCCAGCUUUGAGGAUGAAAGAGGGAGGAGGAACAGAGUUUGGCCUCAGGCCACCAGGGGCUGGUACCCCAGGGCUAGCUCGUGCUGUCUGGGAGAGUUAAACUGCUCAGAGCCUCAGUUUCCUCAAGUAUGAAAUGGGAGUGGCUCUGGCUGACGUGUAUUUAGUGCCAGGCAGGCGGUGCUCUGUCAGUGGCAGCCUCACUUGGACAGUGGGACAGCAACAAGGCUGUGCAGUUAGUCAAGUGCAGGGGAAGAUGCUGUGGGGCCUCUGGGCAGAUUGAGCACCGCCUAGAGGCCAGCCCGCCCUCCACCUGGGGCUUUCCCUGUUGGGAGUGACAGGAACACAAACCAGGGACAUGCAGAGGAAGGAAACUGACCAGAGUGUGUGGCACCUUUUUAUUUAGUCAGUCUUUAUUUAAAUGUGUGUUUUGAAAUAGCUUAUUAAAUAGGAUCUUCUCCAAGUUCAAUUCUCACAAUAUUUACAGUGAAUUUUGUGCAAACAUAUUUUGACUGUGAGCUUCUUGCUCCCCCCUUUCACGUUAAUAAUUUACAAAUUUGUCUCACACAAAACCCCAUCUACUUCAUUCAUGGCCUCUUAGGCUCUAGUUUUCUGUUUGACAGGUACUGAUCUAGGGUAAGGAUUUGUUGGCCAAGAGCUAAUUCAUGCCCAGAGGAAAGAAAACAUUUUAUUUAUCAAAAAAGAAUUACAACAAGGCAUUGCUUUCCAAAUGGAAACAUGUGUCCUAAGAUGUUGCAGAACAGUAUUAGCAGCCAAAUAAAUUUCCAAUGAUUA